CGGACGGGUGAGUAACGCGUAAGAACAUACCUUCUAGUGAAGAAUACCUUAGGGAAGCUUGAGUUAAUACUGCAUAAUCCUCUGGGAAAGGUGCGCUAGAAGAUUGGCUUGCGUACUAUUAGCUAGUUGGUGAGGUAAAGGCUCACCAAGGCUUUGAUGGUUAACCGGCCUGAGAGGGUGUACGGUCACAUUGGAACUGAGAAACGGUCCAGACUCCUACGGGAGGCAGCAGUGGGGAAUAUUGCGCAAUGGGCGAAAGCCUGACGCAGCAACGCCGCGUGGAGGAUGAAGGUCUUCGGAUUGUAAACUUCUGUCUAGUGAGAAGAAUGACGGUAUCACUAAAGAAAGCACUGGCUAAUCUCGUGCCAGCAGCCGCGGUAAUACGAGAGGUGCGAGCGUUAUUCGGAAUCAUUGGGCGUAAAGGGUGCGUAGGUGGUGUGGUAAGCCUGUUGUUAAAUAUCCUGGACUAACCAGGAACAUGCCAUGGAAAC
rnacentral:rRNA from 1 species